rnacentral:rRNA from 1 species
CGGGAACUCGUAAUCGAGACUGCCGGGGAUAACUCGGAGGAAGGUGGGGACGACGUCAAAUCAUCAUGCCCCUUAUGUCUUGGGCUACACACGUGCUACAAUGGCCGGUACAAAGGGCUGCGAAGCCGCAAGGUGGAGCGAAUCCCAUAAAGCCGGUCCCAGUUUCGGAUCGUGGGCUGCAACCCGCCCACGUGAAGCCGGAGUUGCUAGUAAUCGCGAAUCAGCAUGUCGCGGUGAAUGCGUUCCCGGGUCCUU